AUUGAACGCUGGCGGCAGGCCUAACACAUGCAAGUCGAACGGUAACAGGAAGCAGCUUGCUGCUUCGCUGACGAGUGGCGGACGGGUGAGUAAUGUCUGGGAAACUGCCUGAUGGAGGGGGAUAACUACUGGAAACGGUAGCUAAUACCGCAUAAUGUCGCAAGACCAAAGAGGGGGACCUUCGGGCCUCUUGCCAUCGGAGUGGCCCAGAUGGGAUUAGCUUGUUGGUGGGGUAACGGCUCACCAAGGCGACGAUCCCUAGCUGGUCUGAGAGGAUGACCAGCCACACUGGAACUGAGACACGGUCCAGACUCCUACGGGAGGCAGCAGUGGGGAAUAUUGCACAAUGGGCGCAAGCCUGAUGCAGCCAUGCCGCGUGUAUGAAGAAGGCCUUCGGGUUGUAAAGUACUUUCAGCGGGGAGGAAGGGAGUAAAGUUAAUACCUUUGCUCAUUGACGUUACCCGCAGAAGAAGCACCGGCUAACUCCGUGCCAGCAGCCGCCGCGG
rnacentral:rRNA from 1 species